rnacentral:rRNA from 1 species
GUGGGGAAUAUUGGACAAUGGGCGAAAGCCUGAUCCAGCCAUGCCGCGUGUGUGAAGAAGGUCUUCGGAUUGUAAAGCACUUUAAGUUGGGAGGAAGGGCAUUAACCUAAUACGUUAGUGUUUUGACGUUACCGACAGAAUAAGCACCGGCUAACUUCGUGCCAGCAGCCGCGGUAAUACGAAGGGUGCAAGCGUUAAUCGGAAUUACUGGGCGUAAAGCGCGCGUAGGUGGUUCGUUAAGUUGGAUGUGAAAGCCCCGGGCUCAACCUGGGAACUGCAUCCAAAACUGGCGAGCCAGAGUACGGUAGAGGGUGGUGGAAUUUCCUGUGUAGCGGUGAAAUGCGUAGAUAUAGGAAGGAACACCAGUGGCGAAGGCGACCACCUGGACUGAUACUGACACUGAGGUGCGAAAGCGUGGGGAGCAAACAGGAUUAGAUACCCCGGUAGUCC